UAUUCGGAGUUCGUAUGAAUAAGUUAUGAAUAUUUGAAAAUUGGGAAUUUUCUAUAAAUAGAGGAAAAUCCGGAAUUUUUUCAUUAAGGACGAAAAAUUCCAGUUUUUGCGGAAUAGUCCCCCCUCCGGUUCUCUCUCUCUCUCGCUCGAAACCCUCCCCAGGCCCGUCGACCCUCCGACCCGACCCGGCCGAACACGGCCCCUCCGGCCUCCUCCGGCCCCUGACCCGGACUCCACUGGGAUCGCCGCCCCACGACGAGCCUCCCUCUGGUGUCGCCUUGCCUCGCCGCUGCUCCGAAAGCUGGAUCGAAGCCCCUCCGAACCUAAGUUUCGACCCGAUCGGAUCUUGGUCGUGCCGGCGUUGCAUGGGCCGAUCCUCUCGGUUUUGGGUUGUUCUCCUCCCCCUGAUCAUCCCCAUAUCCAAUCUGAUCAGAUCAGACGCACCAGAUUAAUCUGAACUUCAAAGCUUGAUCUAGGACGAUCUAGGCCGAACCGGACUUAGCUCCAGGUACUUGACGGUUUGAGUUGACGAGCGUUUGGAUAUCGUUAUAAUUGACUUGUUAGAAGACGCAGCGGGAUUAGAGGUGAGUAAACCUCACUUGGUUCAUAUUACGAACCGAAUAAAUUUAAUUAUUCUAUUUUUUGUGGAAAUUGUGUGAAAAUAUUUAUGG